rnacentral:rRNA from 1 species
GACGAACGCUGGCGGCGCGCUUAACACAUGCAAGUCGAGCGAAGCGGCGGACGGGUGAGUAACACGUGAGUAACCUGCCUUAGACAUUGGGAUAGACGCGGGAAACCGGGAUUAAUACAAAAUGGUCUAAGAUGGACUCGAGGCCCAUUAGCUAGUUGGUGGGUAACGGCCCACUAAGGCGACGAUGGGUAGCCGGCCUGAGAGAGGGGACGGCCACAUUGGAGCGAGGAAACGGUCCAAACUCUACGGGAGGCAGCAGUGGGGAAUAUUGCACAAUGGCGGGAACUCUGAUGCAGCGAGGCCGGGGGAACGAAGAAGGCUUUCGAGGCGUAAAGUUCUUUUAUAUGGGAAGCGGUACCAUAAGAAAAAGCCCCGGCUAACUACGUGCCAGCAGCCGCGGUAAUUC